CCAGCUGGGAGAGUUCAAAUAUGAAAGCUGUACUAAUGUUUCUGUUCUUGUUAGUAUUCUUGCUAGGACUGGGAGAAGAGUCUGGAUUAUGAAGAGGAGUGGGGAGUAUUAAUUUUCAUUUACUGAACUGCCUAGAAAUAAUUUGAACCACCCACACAGCAGAACAAGCUGAUGUCAGAGCCAGUGAGGUUAUCAACACCAAUAAAAAAGCAGUUGUCACACAGAUUAGACAUUACAUGUUAGCAAAAAACUGCUGGUAUAUUAUUUUUAUGCAAAUUGAAAGUAUUUCUAUAACCUCUGACCCUGCCUGUAAACAUCAGAUUCCAGGAAUUCUGCUGGAAACCAUACAUUACUAAGGUAAAAUAAUACUUAGUAGUGAACAUGGUUUCCUCAGUAGAAGAAUCUGGAAGUGGAAGAAUGUAAGACCUUGAAAUGCACUGCUGAGUGCAAGGAAACUGCUGAGGCCACCUCCUGCCAAACAUCUGGGAAAACACACACCCCUUCAGAGCUGCCAGUGGAAAUAUGUAAACCACACACGGCUGUGAUGCAUGAGCACCUCGUUAACAUGCUAUCAGGCGUUCCCAGAUAGCAGCUGCGCAGGGCCAGGAGUAAGUGGACACGCAAUUUCAGCUUGCUCUGACAUGAAACGGGAAGUCAUCGGAGGCAUUCAAAGAACUAAGUGGAAGGACAGGGAGGUUAUUUUAAGGACAGCAGAAGAAAUGAGGAAAAAGUUGGUGAGAAUGGGAAAGAUAGAAAAUGCAGCAGCAGUCCAAAAGGAAAAAUCUCCUUGGAACUGGAGAGGAUUUCACUGAGUGGUGAGGAAAGAGCUGGAAGGUGGUCAGAGGAGGAAAUAUGGAUCUUGGAUAGAAGCUAUACAUAGAAGUGAACAAGAGGAAUGCAAAGUGGAUGUCUGUGCCUUGAAGGUUUGCUCGAAGGUGCAGUGCUGGAGUGUUGAGCCAGCAGAGCCAUCAUGAGCAGCAGCUGUGCCAAAUCCAUCACUAGCAGCUGGGGCUGCUGAGAGCUGCAGUGGCCAUUACAGGAUUUGAGCAGGUUUUGCUGCUAGGUUUGAAGCUGUGCCUUCAUUCUUCUGAGGCUGACCUGCAGGGCUGCUGCUGGAGAAAUACAGGUAUUGUAGCAAGUAGUUUUUUGUUUGUUUGCUUUUUUUAAUGUAGCAGUGGUGUAAGGGGUGAGUUUAAGAGGUGGGGAGUAGAGAGGUAAGGGUAUUUAGAUGUGUGAAGGGGCAUGGCUUAGGGUGGAAAGAUUGGUGGUGGGUGAAUGGUUGGACUGCAUGAUGUUGGAGGUCUUUUCCAACCUUAGUGAUUCUAUGAUUUGCAUAUGUGUGUAUUAAGCAGAGAGGCUGGUCAAAUUGCUUCUUUGUUGUGAAAUAUAAUGCAGCAUUGGAAGGAGUCAGGAGAAUUCACUGUUCCCUUGUAAAACCUCUGAGAUGUGAAGUGUGUAUUUCCCUGUGUUGGUUAUGCAGUCUGUGCAGGCACUUGGGAUUUCUAGCGGUUUUCUAAUAUGAGGGACGAAGAUGUUCAGGUUUAUUUGUGGCUGUACUAUUUCUUGUUGUAGUUGAUGGAAUUUUCCAUCAGGUUUCUGUUGUGCUAGAUUGCAUUUGAAUGCCUGAAUCUGAGUCUGCCCCACCAAAAAAAAAAAAAAAGACUUGUUAUCAUUGCAAAAUACAAGGUGUUUUAUAUUUUGUGAGUUCUUUGGUAUGAUAGAAUGUGGAAAAAAUAAAGUAUGCUACCGUGUUGAUAUGUAAUGGAAGAAUCUUAUGCAAUACUGAAAAAUACGAUGCGUGAAAUCUUUCCUACACUCAAGCAUAAAGAGUAUAUAUAUAUACUUUAGACUCUUAGUUUUAGCAGAAACUGCUGUUACACUUCACUGUAUGUUGAUGUAUAGGGCCAUUUUUAUUAUUUUACUCAGAAAAAUAAAAUGAGAUGAUCUAGUAAAGACAAA
ensembl:lncRNA